CUCUCCGCCCUUCCCUCUCUCCCUCUGUCCCUCCUCCCUCUGUCCCUCCUCCUCCCUCUCCUCUCUCUCCCCUUCCUCUCUGUCUCUCCCUCCUCUUUCUGUCCAUCUCCCUCUGUGCCCCUCUCUGUUUGUCUUCCUGACAGUUUGGGGUGUUCUUCCUGACCCGAACUGUUGGUUGCUUCUCUUUCUAGAUUCACGGAUGAAGCUGCUGGAACUGUGAGCAAUGGGCAGGAAUGUGGGACAGAUUCCUCACUGGACAGAGGAUCGAAAAGGUAGUUAAUUUAUUCUGCCCGAAUGGAUUCACUGGGGCUGAGUCAUAGAGAGAAGUGAAGAUCCAUUACAAAACAGCAUUCCCUCAGCCCGAGGACAGUCACAUUCUGCUAGAAUUGAGUAGAUGUGUUACUGGUAGAAUGAUAUCGCUCUGCUACUUGGUGGGAUUAAACCAUGCAGUCACUGAGGGAGCAAUGGACUGAAGACUUGUGGAAAAAACAGCUAACGGAUGAAAAGUCCCAUUAUCAACAUCAUCAUGCUUUUCAUGCUCUCUCUGUGUGUGCCUGAGAAGUGAAUGUAUCUGCUCUUUAUUUCCCAGAUGUUAUUAAAUGCUUUCCUCUA